GCCCAAGCUAGAGCUCUGAGAGGAGGCUUCUGCUGUGACGGGGCCUUGACUGAUGGUGGGUGGCUAGUCAGUCAGCAUGCCUGGCACAUUUUGACCUUGGAUGGCCUCUUGGCAGUAGUGGCAGGUGGUGCCUCCUGCAUUUCUUUUCCAGACAUUGGAAAUGAGACUCUGUGUGAAAACUCAGAGGAAGAGUGAGCCCCGAGCCUAAUCUGCAAUGUUGGCCUCCUUGGAACACCUCCAGACGGGAGAAGUGAGGCCGUUUGGAGAGGGAAGCCGCUACCGCCACAGAAGCAGCCAGCUGACCAGGGGCUGUGUUAUAGAAGUUAGAUUUUGGACCAGGGACAAGGGACUGAGGUGCAUAGUUUACAUACCAAAGCAGACCCGGCCUCCAGGUUCUCCAAGAAUCCCUCAGUGACUUCCUGGCAUACCCUGCCCCAACCCUGAACUCUGCAGCCCAGGGGCUGGGCAGCCCUUCCCCCAGAGGCUCCUCCCUACUAUGUCGUGCAGACAUUUUGGUCUCUCCUCUCUCCCUCUCCCUCCCUCUCUCUCCUUUUCUUCCUCUCCCUUUUCCCCUCUCCUCCUUCUCUCUGCACGCAGGGGCCUUUUCUCUCUUUCUUGCCCCCUACCCCACUCCCCAUGACCACUCCCCUAGCCUUAAUCCUUGGAGCUAGUGAACUCAGCCAAGAACAGUUUUCCAAUAAA